UGCGUAGGCGGACUGGUAAGUCAGCGGUAAAAAUGCGGUGCUCAACGCCGUAGUGCCGUUGAAACUGUCGGUCUUGAGUGAGCGAGAAGUAUGCGGAAUGCGUGGUGUAGCGGUGAAAUGCGUAGAGAUCUGGAGGAAUACCGAUUGCGAAGGCAGCCCCCUGGACAGUGACUGACGCUCAUAUGCGAAAGCGUGGGGAUCAAACAGGAUUAGAUACCCCUGUA
rnacentral:rRNA from 1 species